rnacentral:rRNA from 1 species
AUGAACGCUGGCGGCGUGCCUAAUACAUGCAAGUCGAGCGAACAGACGAGGAGCUUGCUCCUCUGACGUUAGCGGCGGACGGGUGAGUAACACGUGGAUAACCUACCUAUAAGACUGGGAUAACUUCGGGAAACCGGAGCUAAUACCGGAUAAUAUAUUGAACCGCAUGGUUCAAUAGUGAAAGACGGUUUUGCUGUCACUUAUAGAUGGAUCCGCGCCGCAUUAGCUAGUUGGUAAGAUAACGGCUUACCAAGGCAACGAUGCGUAGCCGACCUGAGAGGGUGAUCGGCCACACUGGAACUGAGACACGGUCCAGACUCCUACGGGAGGCAGCAGUAGGGAAUCUUCCGCAAUGGGCGAAAGCUUGACGGAGCAACGCCGCGUGAGUGAUGAAGGUCUUCGGAUCGUAAAACUCUGUUAUUAGGGAAGAACAAAUGUGUAAGUAACUAUGCACGUCUUGACGGUACCUAAUCAGAAAGCCACGGCUAACUACGUG